UACGUAGGGAGCAAGCGUUGUCCGGAUUUACUGGGUGUAAAGGGUGCGUAGGCGGGAACACAAGUCAGGCGUGAAAUACCGGGGCUCAACUCCGGGGCUGCGCUUGAAACUGUGUUUCUUGAGUGGAGUAGAGGCAGGCGGAAUUCCUAGUGUAGCGGUGGAAUGCGUAGAUAUUAGGAGGAACACCAGUGGCGAAGGCGGCCUGCUGGGCUUUAACUGACGCUGAUGCACGAAAGCAUGGGGAGCAAACAGG
rnacentral:rRNA from 1 species